GGGGUUGACCGGUUUUGACAGCGGGCAGAAAUGGUUUGUAAGCAUGCAGUGCAUAGUUACACAGCACUUUAAUCUCUGGUAACAAACAAGUAACUGGCGAAAAUUCUUACGCUCUUGCUGCUUGAUCGAAGUAUAGUAGAUUUUAAGCUUAAUUCCGGUUCAAGGAAUCGGAACGAGACAUCACCCGGAAGCUCUGGCUUCGAAGCAGUCCGAUACGGUGGUGCAGCUAAAUCGGAGAUAGUCCGCAGUAAGUCUUGGGCUACGGAUGAAAAUUAAGAGAAUAAGUUCAGUAUUGGUGGCUUUGGUCUUGUACUGAAUCGAAAAUUUAAGCAAAGAUAAGCAUGUAGAAAGCAAAUUAGUUCCUCGUUUGGACGAGGGUUCGACUCCCUCCAGCUCCACGC
rnacentral:tmRNA from 1 species